rnacentral:rRNA from 1 species
GACGAACGCUGGCGGCGUGCCUAAUACAUGCAAGUAGAACGCUGAAGGAGGAGCUUGCUUCUCUGGAUGAGUUGCGAACGGGUGAGUAACGCGUAGGUAACCUGCCCGGUAGCGGGGGAUAACUAUUGGAAACGAUAGCUAAUACCGCAUAAGAGUAGAUGUUGCAUGACAUUUGCUUAAAAGGUGCAAUUGCAUCACUACCAGAUGGACCUGCGUUGUAUUAGCUAGUUGGUGGGGUAACGGCUUACCAAGGCGACGAUACAUAGCCGACCUGAGAGGGUGAUCGGCCACACUGGGACUGAGACACGGCCCAGACUCCUACGGGAGGCAGCAGUAGGGAAUCUUCGGCAAUGGACGGAAGUCUGACCGAGCAACGCCGCGUGAGUGAAGAAGGGUUUCGGAUCGUAAAGCUCUGUUGUAAGAGAAGAACGAGUGUGAGAGUGGAAAGUUCACACUGUGACGGUAUCUUACCAGAAAGGGACGGCUAACUACGUG